CCAAACCAAUAUUACUCAAGGGGAACCUCGUACACAUUAAGGCUCCUUGUCAUGAGCCGGGGUGAGUACUCCUGUUCUCUUAACCAUCUGUGAGUCUCUUGCCAGGAGAGGGAGUGGCCCAGCUGUUCCUGAUCAGCAAUCAGCGGGGUGCUUUCCUAUUUAAGGUGGAUGGUGGACACAAUUCGACGCCGGAAGAUUGCCUCAGUUUUGGAUUCCUGUCGACCUCAUUGGAUACUGACCUCUACUCCAGGAUUCUGAUAUUCAACACACGGACCAGGAUUUGGAUAUUCAGCACACGGACCUUAUCACCACCCUCCAUAACCCACCUCUCAUCUCACCCAGUGCCCCAUCCACCAGGACGCCCCGCUUCUCUCCACCUCUGCUCCCUCUCCUGCGCUUCCCCCGGCUCUCUACCUCUCCCUCCUCCAGCCAACACAUACACCCACCACAGGAAGUCUGCUGAACACCUCUGCCUGCCUACAAUGGAUUUUGAAACCAGAACCUAUGCUCACCUGUGUUCUCCCUCCUCCAGACGCUGAGCUGUUGUUGCAGGUCCAACCACAGACUUAUCUGUGCACCUUAAGGUCCUCCUUAUAAAUAAAUAAUUUUUUCCAUCA